UCUCCGUUGGUGAACCAGCGGAGGGAUCAUUACAGGACUCGCAAGACUCCUUCACCCUGUGAACCUCACUACAAGCACGUUGCUUCGGCGGGUGUCCCGGCGGGGGUUUUCCCUCGCCGGGGCGCACAGCCCGCCGGCAGCCUACUAUACUCUGUCUCUUUGCGUUGGCAUCUCGAAAAAAAACAAACAAGUUAAAACUUUCAACAACGGAUCUCUUGGUUCUG
rnacentral:misc_RNA from 1 species